rnacentral:rRNA from 1 species
CUUCCGUAGGUGAACCUGCGGAAGGAUCAUUACCGAGUGUAGGGUUCCUAGCGAGCCCAACCUCCCACCCGUGUUUACUGUAACCUUAGUUGCUUCGGCGGGCCCGCCUUUAAGGCCGCCGGGGGGCAUCAGCCCCCGGGCCCGCGCCCGCCGGAGACACCACGAACUCUGUCUGAUCUAGUGAAGUCUGAGUUGAUUGUAUCGCAAUCAGUUAAAACUUUCAACAAUGGAUCUCUUGGUUCCGGCAUCGAUGAAGAACGCAGCGAAAUGCGAUAACUAGUGUGAAUUGCAGAAUUCCGUGAAUCAUCGAGUCUUUGAACGCACAUUGCGCCCCCUGGUAUUCCGGGGGGCAUGCCUGUCCGAGCGUCAUUGCUGCCCAUCAAGCACGGCUUGUGUGUUGGGUCGUCGUCCCCUCUUCGGGGGGGACGGGCCCCAAAGGCAGCGGCGGCACCGCGUCCGAUCCUCGAGCGUAUGGGGCUUUGUCACCCGCUCUGUAGGCCCGGCCGGCGCUUGCCGAACGCAAAACAACCAUUCUUUCCAGGUUGACCUCGGAUCAGGUAGGGAUACCCGCUGAACUUAAGCAUAUCAAUAAGCGGAG